rnacentral:lncRNA from 1 species
CGGGUCUUCAUUUACUGCUUCAUGACAAGAGGUUCCAUGCUGACAGCAUCUGGGGAAACCUCGCUGGGCCUCGGAGGUCCUUCCUAUGGGUGAUAUGCCACCCACCCUGGGUCGAGAGUCAGAGAAGCGCGGCCGGUCCCACUGCUGGCUUCGCCUGCCUGUUUCCCACAGCUUCCCUCUAGUCAUCCACCUACACCUGCUGCCCAGUUCCCUAGAAACCUGCCUAGUGUAAAAGGAAGCAACUCUGGAGAACAGAAUGAGAAAUCAGAAAGCAAGGCCCUGUCCUCUGAGUUCUGUCCUGGAUGGGGACUGAGGAAGGAGCAACGUGGAUGAACAGAGGCUAGAUUCCAGAGCCCAGA